GUUAAAAAGCUCGUAGUUGGAUUUCUGUUACGAUGAGCCGGCCGGCCCUUCGGGGUUGUAGCUAGGUUUCGUGGUAGCAUCUUGGCGCAAUCGCCGCUGGCAUUCGUUUGUUGGCGUGCGGGACCGCCUCGUUUACUUUGAGAAAAUUUGAGUGUUCAAAGCGGGCUAUCGCCUUGUAAAUAUUAGCAUGGAAUAAUGAUAUAGGACUUUUGGUUCUAUUUUGUUGGUGUUCGAGAACCAAAGUAAUGAUUGAUAGGGGCAGUUGGGGGCAUCAGUAUUCUGAAGCGAGAGGUGAAAUUCUUGGACCUUCGGAAGACUAACAGCUGCGAAAGCGUUUGCCUAGGAUGUUCUCUUUAAUCA
rnacentral:rRNA from 1 species